rnacentral:rRNA from 1 species
AGCGAACGCUGGCGGCAGGCUUAACACAUGCAAGUCGAGCGGGCGUAGCAAUACGUCAGCGGCAGACGGGUGAGUAACGCGUGGGAACGUACCUUUUGGUUCGGAACAACACAGGGAAACUUGUGCUAAUACCGGAUAAGCCCUUACGGGGAAAGAUUUAUCGCCGAAAGAUCGGCCCGCGUCUGAUUAGCUAGUUGGCGAGGUAACGGCUCACCAAGGCGACGAUCAGUAGCUGGUCUGAGAGGAUGAUCAGCCACAUUGGGACUGAGACACGGCCCAAACUCCUACGGGAGGCAGCAGUGGGGAAUAUUGGACAAUGGGGGCAACCCUGAUCCAGCCAUGCCGCGUGAGUGAUGAAGGCCCUAGGGUUGUAAAGCUCUUUUGUGCGGGAAGAUAAUGACGGUACCGCAAGAAUAAGCCCCGGCUAACUUCGUGCCAGCCGCCGCUGUAAGAC